UAUAUGUGUGUGUGUGUGUGUGUGUGUGUGUGUAUAUAUAUAUAUACACAUAAAUACAUACAUUAUAUAUAUAUG